UACAGAGGGUGCGAGCGUUGUUCGGAAUUACUGGGCGUAAAGCGCGCGCAGGCGGCUUUUUAAGUCCGACGGUGAAAUGCCGGGGCUCAACCCCGUGCCCGCCGCGGAUACUGGGAAGCUGGAGACGAGUAGAGGCAAGCGGAAUUCCGGGUGUAGCGGUGGAAUGCGUAGAGAUCCGGAAGAACACCGGAGGCGAAGGCGGGUCUCUGGGCAACAACUGACGCUGAGGAGCGAAAGCGUGGGGAGCGAACAGG
rnacentral:rRNA from 1 species